ensembl:lncRNA
AAUUACUUGCAUAUUAAAAUAUUGUAUAUUUAUUUAAAAAUAUAGCAUUGAAUUCAAUAAGAUUAACUUCAGAUUAUUAAGAUCAUUAAUGGUACAGUUAUUUGUGCUACAUUUGUGUAGCAUGCUAACAUGUCAUUUUGAAUUCAACCAGUGAGUACAAAAAUGGUACAUGCCCUGAUCUGCCCUACGACACAGUGCACACAGCUAUAAGUGUGGUCUAUAAGUACACUUUCAUCUACAUAAACGAAACUGCACAAUAUAUUAAAACAUUUCCUGUGGUCUAAUGUACUAAUCCUCUCAUUGUGUGAGUCUUGUUUUGUCUCUUUUCUCACGCUCGAUGUAAUGGAGUUUUUCAUCUUCAUAGUUUUUCAGCUCCUGAUGGAGUUUCAGUCCUACAUGCUGGUUUCCACUGGUCUUACUGUAAUUUUGUCUGGACUCAUGGGACUCAUCUGUCUGUGCCGCUUUGCAUGUAAGUAUUUUAAUGACAAUUUUUAUUUAUUCAUAUGCACAGGAAUAAAAACUGAAAAUAUAAUACAUUAUCUCAUUGUUUUUUUAGGUAAAAAAAGAAGAAAACUGUAAGUAAUUUAAUUCAUUUAAGUACUUAGUAGUAUUGUUUCUUUUUCGUAAAAAAAAAAAAAAAAAAAAGUAUAUCCAUGAGCUGGAGCUGUAAAUGAUUAGCUUCUUAUCUGAUAUAAACAUAUGAAUCAUACAUACAGUAUACUAUAAAGUUUUAAUGUUGAUUCUUAGAAAUAAAACAAGACCAAUAAAAACCA